UUAAAUUGAAGAGUUUGAUCAUGGCUCAGAUUGAACGCUGGCGGCAGGCCUAACACAUGCAAGUCGAACGGUAACAGGAAGCAGCUUGCUGCUUUGCUGACGAGUGGCGGACGGGUGAGUAAUGUCUGGGAAACUGCCUGAUGGAGGGGGAUAACUACUGGAAACGGUGGCUAAUACCGCAUAACGUCGCAAGACCAAAGAGGGGGACCUUCGGGCCUCUUGCCAUCAGAUGUGCCCAGAUGGGAUUAGCUUGUUGGUGAGGUAACGGCUCACCAAGGCGACGAUCCCUAGCUGGUCUGAGAGGAUGACCAGCCACACUGGAACUGAGACACGGUCCAGACUCCUACGGGAGGCAGCAGUGGGGAAUAUUGCACAAUGGGCGCAAGCCUGAUGCAGCCAUGCCGCGUGUAUGAAGAAGGCCUUCGGGUUGUAAAGUACUUUCAGCGGGGAGGAAGGUGUUGUGGUUAAUAACCGCAGCAAUUGACGUUACCUGCAGAAGAAGCACCGGCUAACUCCGUGCCAGCAGCCGCGGUAAUACGGAGGGUGCAAGCGUUAAUCGGAAUUACUGGGCGUAAAGCGCACGCAGGCGGUCUGUCAAGUCGGAUGUGAAAUCCCCGGGCUCAACCUGGGAACUGCAUUCGAAACUGGCAGGCUUGAGUCUUGUAGAGGGGGUAGAAUUCCAGGUGUAGCGGUGAAAUGCGUAGAGAUCUGGAGGAAUACCGGUGGCGAAGGCGGCCCCCUGGACAAAGACUGACGCUCAGGUGCGAAAGCGUGGGGAGCAAACAGGAUUAGAUACCCUGGUAGUCCACGCCGUAAACGAUGUCUACUUGGAGGUUGUGCCCUUGAGGCGUGGCUUCCGGAGCUAACGCGUUAAGUAGACCGCCUGGGGAGUACGGCCGCAAGGUUAAAACUCAAAUGAAUUGACGGGGGCCCGCACAAGCGGUGGAGUAUGUGGUUUAAUUCGAUGCAACGCGAAGAACCUUACCUGGUCUUGACAUCCACAGAAGAAUCCAGAGAUGGAUUUGUGCCUUCGGGAACUGUGAGACAGGUGCUGCAUGGCUGUCGUCAGCUCGUGUUGUGAAAUGUUGGGUUAAGUCCCGCAACGAGCGCAACCCUUAUCCUUUGUUGCCAGCGAUUAGGUCGGGAACUCAAAGGAGACUGCCAGUGAUAAACUGGAGGAAGGUGGGGAUGACGUCAAGUCAUCAUGGCCCUUACGACCAGGGCUACACACGUGCUACAAUGGCGCAUACAAAGAGAAGCGACCUCGCGAGAGCAAGCGGACCUCAUAAAGUGCGUCGUAGUCCGGAUUGGAGUCUGCAACUCGACUCCAUGAAGUCGGAAUCGCUAGUAAUCGUGGAUCAGAAUGCCACGGUGAAUACGUUCCCGGGCCUUGUACACACCGCCCGUCACACCAUGGGAGUGGGUUGCAAAAGAAGUAGGUAGCUUAACCUUCGGGAGGGCGCUUACCACUUUGUGAUUCAUGACUGGGGUGAAGUCGUAACAAGGUAACCGUAGGGGAACCUGCGGUUGGAUCACCUCCUUACCUGAAAGAAGC
rnacentral:rRNA from 1 species